rnacentral:rRNA from 1 species
CCCUUAGAUGUUCUGGGCAGCACGCGCGCUACAAUGGUCUUCGCAAACGGAUGCAUUCUCGAAGGAGAAUGCCAUUCUUGGAAUCUAUGCCUUGGUCGGGACAGUUGCUUGCAAUUUUUCGACUCGAACCAGGAAUUCCUUGUAAUCGUGAUUCAUCACAUCACGAUGAAUACGUCCCUGCCCUUUGUACACACCGCCCGUCGCUCCUACCGAUCGAAGAGUUAGGUGAAUUGUUUUGAUCGAUAAGAUUUGACUAUGGUCAACUCUCGUUGUGAAAUUCUGUGAAUCUGACUGUUUAGAGGAAGGAAAAGUCGUAACA